rnacentral:rRNA from 1 species
GACGAACGCUGGCGUCGGGCCUAACACAUGCAAGCUGAGCGGAGUGGCGGAAGGGUGAGUAAUGCCUAGGAAUUUGCCUGGUAGUGGGUGAUAACGUCCGGAAACGGGCGCUUAUACCGCAUACUACCCGUUUACCCUAUGGCGGGUUAGCUAGUUGGUGGGGUAAAGGCCUACGAAGGCGACGAUCCGUAACUGGUCUGAGAGGAUGAUCAGUCAAACUGGAACUGAGACACGGACCAGAAGCCUACGGGAGGCAGCAGUGGGGAAUAUGGGACAAGGGGCGAAAGCCUGAUCCAGCCAUGCCGCGUGUGGGAAGAAGGACUUCGGAUUGUAAAGCACUUUAAGUUGGGAGGCGUUACCAACAGAAUAAGCACCGGCUAACUUCGUGCCAGCCGCCGCGGUAAUAC